CAGUCGCCGCGGUAAUACGUAGGUGGCAAGCGUUGUCCGGAAUUAUUGGGCGUAAAGGGCUCGCAGGCGGUUUCUUAAGUCUGAUGUGAAAGCCCCCGGCUCAACCGGGGAGGGUCAUUGGAAACUGGGAAACUUGAGUGCAGAAGAGGAGAGUGGAAUUCCACGUGUAGCGGUGAAAUGCGUAGAGAUGUGGAGGAACACCAGUGGCGAAGGCGACUCUCUGGUCUGUAACUGACGCUGAUGUGCGAAAGCGUGGGGAUCAAACAGGAUUAGAUACCCCGGUAGUCCCUGUCUCUUAUAA
rnacentral:rRNA from 1 species